GUGGGGAAUAUUGGACAAUGGGCGAAAGCCUGAUCCAGCCAUGCCGCGUGUGUGAAGAAGGUCUUCGGAUUGUAAAGCACUUUAAGUUGGGAGGAAGGGCAGUAAGUUAAUACCUUGCUGUUUUGACGUUACCGACAGAAUAAGCACCGGCUAACUUCGUGCCAGCAGCCGCGGUAAUACAGAGGGUGCAAACGUUGCUCGGAAUUACUGGGCGUAAAGCGCGUGUAGGCUGACAUGCAAGUCGGGUGUGAAAUCCCAGGGAUCAACCUUGGAACUGCACUCGAAACUGCACGUCUUGAGUACUGGAGAGGGAAGCGGAAUUCCGGGUGUAGAGGUGAAAUUCGUAGAUAUCCGGAGGAACACCAGUGGCGAAGGCGGCUUCCUGGACAGUAACUGACGCUGAGACGCGAAAGCGUGGGGAGCAAACAGGAUUAGAAACCCUGGUAGUCC
rnacentral:rRNA from 1 species